GCAGGCUGCAACUCGCCUGCAUGAAGUUGGAGUUGCUAGUAAUCGCGGAUCAGAAUGCCGCGGUGAAUGCGUUCCCGGGUCUUGUACACACCGCCCGUCACACCACGGAAGUUGGGGGUGCCCAAAGUUGGCAGGAUAAUAUGUUACCUAAGGCAAAACCGAUGACUGGGGUGAAGUCGUAACAAGGUAAC
rnacentral:rRNA from 1 species